rnacentral:rRNA from 1 species
UGGGGAAUAUUGGACAAUGGGCGAAAGCCUGAUCCAGCCAUGCCGCGUGAGUGAUGAAGGCCUUAGGGUUGUAAAGCUCUUUUACCCGGGAAGAUAAUGACGGUACCGGGAGAAUAAGCCCCGGCUAACUUCGUGCCAGCAGCCGCGGUAAUACGAAGGGGGCUAGCGUUGUUCGGAAUUACUGGGCGUAAAGCGCACGUAGGCGGAUCCUUAAGUCAGGGGUGAAAUCCCGAGGCUCAACCUCGGAACUGCCUUUGAUACUGGGGAUAUCGAGUCCGGGAGAGGUGAGUGGAACUGCGAGUGUAGAGGUGAAAUUCGUAGAUAUUCGCAAGAACACCAGUGGCGAAGGCGGCUCACUGGCCCGGUACUGACGCUGAGGUGCGAAAGCGUGGGGAGCAAACAGGAUUAGAUACCCCCGUAGUCC